rnacentral:rRNA from 1 species
AGUCCCUACGGGACGCAGCAGCGGGGGAUAUUGCACAAUGGGGGGAACCCUGAUGCAGCGACGCCGCGUGGGUGAAGGAGCGUUUCGGCGCGUAAAGCCCUAUCGGCAGGGAAGAAGGAGGACGGUACCUGACUAAGAAGCCCCGGCUAACUGCGUGCCAGCAGCCGCGGUAAUACGUAGGGGGCAAGCGUUAUCCGGAUUUACUGGGGGUAAAGGGGGCGCAGGCGGUUCUGCAA